rnacentral:rRNA from 1 species
GCUUAAUUAUACAUUAUGUCAAUCAUUCUAUAUUUUCAAUUAAAAUAAAACAUUUUAACCUUUUAGUAGAGGAGAUCAAAAAAUAUAUUAAAGCUUCAGAAACAGUACCGCAAGGGAAAGAUGAAAUAAAAAUGAAAUAAUUUUAAAGCUAACUAAAGCAGAGAUUAAAUCUCGUACCUUUUGCAUCAUGGUCCAGCCAGUCUAAGCAAGCAAAAAGAAAAUUUUAGUUUGCAUCCCCGAAACUAAGCGAGCUACUUCAAAACAGUUUAAAGAACAAACCCGUCUCUGUGGCAAUAGAGUGGGAAGAUUUUCAAGUAGAAGUGAAAAGCCUAACGAGCUUAGAGAUAGCUGGUUAUUCAGGAAAAGAAUAUUAGUUCUGCCUUAAAUUUCUGCAUGUUAAAAAACAAAAUUUAAAAUUUAAGAGUUAUUCAACUAAGGCACAGCUUAUUUGAAACAGGAUACAACCUCUAGAACAGGGUAAACAAUAUAACAUUAUAUAAAGUGGGCCUGAAGGCAGCCACCUUUUAGAAAGCGUUAAAGCUUAGUUUAUUUAUUCUAUAAAUACCAAAUACUUAUAUAAACCCCCUCAUUAAUACUGAAUGACUUUAUAAUUAUAUAAAAAACAUUAUGCUGGAACUAGUAACAAGAAUUUAAUAUUCUCCCAAAUGCAAGUAUAAGCCAAAAUGGAUACUCCACUGGCAAUUAACGGUAAUGAAUAAAAUUCAGCAACUUAUAUACAAGAAAAACCUGCAAACUCAACCGUUAACCUUACACCAGAACAUUACAGGAAAGAUUAAAAGAGAAAGAAGGAACUCGGCAAAUAAUAACCCCGCCUGUUUACCAAAAACAUCGCCUCUUGACAAGAUAUAAGAGGUCCAGCCUGCCCAGUGACAAAAUUUAACGGCCGCGGUACCCUGACCGUGCGAAGGUAGCAUAAUCACUUGUUCUUUAAAUAGGGACUAGUAUCAACGGCAUCACGAGGGUUACACUGUCUCCUUUCUCCAAUCAGUGAAACUGAUCUUCCCGUGAAGAAGCGGGAAUACACCUAUAAGACGAGAAGACCCCAUGGAGCUUUAAAUUUCACAGCAACUCAGUCACAUAUUUCUUUAUAUUUAACAGAGCCAUGCAUGCCAAUUUUAGGUUGGGGUGACCGCGGAGUAUAAAACAACCUCCACAUCGAAAAGAACUAAAUCUUUAUUCAAGAGCUACAACUCUAAAAAUUAGUACACUAACGAACAAUGACCCGAUAAUCGAUCAACGGACCAAGUUACCCUGGGGAUAACAGCGCAAUCUACUUCAAGAGCCCAUAUCGACAAGUAGGCUUACGACCUCGAUGUUGGAUCAGGGUAUCCCAGUGGUGCAGCCGCUACUAAAUGGUUCGU